rnacentral:lncRNA from 1 species
CAUUUCUUCAGUGUAACCAGCGACCCCUGAUAAUUUCCUUAAUUACUAUCUUAUCAUCAUGAAGUUGCCACUGUCGAGGCUUCAUAAACCCUGAUAGAACCCUCAGGAAUCCCCACAGUUGGUUUUCUAGAAAUCAAAUGGAGUGUAAGUAGUAAAUAGGAAUUUCUGUAUCUUUUGCAUUUUAUUCAAAAAAUGUAUGAAGUUGAUUUUUAAAGAAUUAUUAGCUAUAAAUGUCUCAUAAAUAGAUAUAUAUUUGUGUUUUAUGUGUUAC